rnacentral:rRNA from 1 species
AUUGAACGCUGGCGGCAGGCCUAACACAUGCAAGUCGAGCGGAUGACGGGAGCUUGCUCCUUGAUUCAGCGGCGGACGGGUGAGUAAUGCCUAGGAAUCUGCCUGGUAGUGGGGGACAACGUUUCGAAAGGAACGCUAAUACCGCAUACGUCCUACGGGAGAAAGCAGGGGACCUUCGGGCCUUGCGCUAUCAGAUGAGCCUAGGUCGGAUUAGCUAGUUGGUGGGGUAAUGGCUCACCAAGACGACGAUCCGUAACUGGUCUGAGAGGAUGAUCAGUCACACUGGAACUGAGACACGGUCCAGACUCCUACGGGAGGCAGCAGUGGGGAAUAUUGGACAAUGGGCGAAAGCCUGAUCCAGCCAUGCCGCGUGUGUGAAGAAGGUCUUCGGAUUGUAAAGCACUUUAAGUUGGGAGGAAGGGCAGUAAGCUAAUACCUUGCUGUUUUGACGUUACCGACAGAAUGAGCACCGGCUAACUCUGUGCCAGCAGCCGCAGUAACAC